AUUUGGCUACGUCUAAAGGGUGACGAAGAAGGACCAUCUUAAGUUUGUGGCAUGCGGCACAUCUAAUGGCGGACCCUUCCACUUUUGAGUCCAUCAAAAAGGCAACGUAUUAUUAGCUGUGACAAUCUGACGAGGGCUCUGCCACUGUUUGCUCCUGCAAAAUAGUGACGACUAAUUAAUCCCCAAGUAUUUGAUUUGUUCUUUCAGUAUCAAAAGAAAGUGCAGCAACCUACCAAAUGCAUGCCUUCUAAAGAUACAAAAAG
rnacentral:lncRNA from 1 species